GAAAUUUUGUACGUAACAGCCAACGCGCAGUAAACAUUAAAAUACUAAAUUGGAAUGAACAACCACUGAAUUGAAUGAGUAAAUUAGGAAGAACAAAAAAAUUCUAAAAAGCAACGUGUUAUUAUUACAACAAAAUGACGCAAGUAAAAACACGAUCCUUAACUUACAAAAUAAUAUGAUUAUUUAUCAAUUUCAAAAAAACAAAAAAACAUUACGUCAAAUUAAUUAUUAACUAAUUUUGUUUUUCAAAGGCCAAGGAAUAAAUGAUGAAAUAUUUUCAAUAAUUUACAAGUGUAAAUACAAUAAUAAUUUUCAAUCUUGAUAAGCAAAGACAGAAAAAAAACUAUCAAGGGGGUCCAUACCGAGCCUCUUAGAAACAACACACAGCCGAUAACGUAAUUUGUAUUGACGUUAUUUAAAAAAAAUAAUAAUAAUAAUUUACGAUUUACUAGGUCCGUGUUAUAAAAUAAAAUGGUGCUAAGCGUUAAAAAAGAAAGAAGAACAACAUAUAUUUUCGUAAUUACAAUAAAUAUUGAUUGAAAAAAUAUUCCUAUAAAAACAUGUUUUUCUUAAACAAAAGGUAUGAUAAGAAAUUGGAAAUGGGUUUAAUAAAUAAAUUAAUUUAAAUUAAGAAAAAUAUUGAUAUGUAAACGAAAACAAUGCACUUUUGCUAGAAGUAUACAAAACAGAAUCUAAAAUUUCAAAACCUAGAUUAUUUUAAGCAAAAAUGUAGACAAUUUACAAAAAAAAAACAUUUUUGUUUAUAAUUUUCGCUGUUUAAUUACAUAUUUGAACUUACUUGGUUAUA